rnacentral:rRNA from 1 species
UACAGAGGUCUCAAGCGUUGUUCGGAUUUAUUGGGCGUAAAGGGCGCGUAGGCGGCGGGGUAAGUCGGGUGUGAAAUCUCAGGGCUCAACCCUGAAACUGCACUUGAUACUGCUCUGCUUGAGGACUGGAGAGGAGACUGGAAUUCACGGUGUAGCAGUGAAAUGCGUAUAUAUCGUGAGGAAGACCAGUGGCGAAGGCGGGUCUCUGGACAGUUCCUGACGCUGAGGCGCGAAGGCCAGGGGAGCAAACGGG